GUGCCAGCCGCCGCGGUAAUACAGAGGUCUCAACCGUUGUUCGGAUUCAUUGGGCGUAAAGGGUGCGUAGGCGGUCGCGCAAGUCGGAUGUGAAAUCUCGGGGCUCAACCCCGAAACUGCAUUCGAUACUGCGUGGCUAGAGUACUGGAGAGGAGACUGGAAUUUACGGUGUAGCAGUGAAAUGCGUAGAUAUCGUAAGGAAGACCAGUGGCGAAGGCGAGUCUCUGGACAGUUACUGACGCUGAGGCACGAAGGCCAGGGGAGCAAACGGGAUUAGAUACCCCGGUAGUCCUGGCAGUAAACAGUGCACGUUUGGUGUAGGCGGAUUCGAACCCGCCUGUGCCGGAGCUAACGCGUUAAACGUGCCGCCUGGGAAGUACGGUCGCAAGAUUAAAACUCAAAGGAAUUGACGG
rnacentral:rRNA from 1 species